rnacentral:pre_miRNA from 12 species
AGCAGUUGCCAGUGUCAUUUUUGUGACGUUGCAGCUAGUAAUAUGAGCCCAGUUGCAUAGUCACAAAAGUGAUUAUUGGAAACUGUC